AGGAACCCUGUCUGCCUGUGUCAAAAUGAGAAAUUUGUUCAUAUCCUUCAAGUAAAAAAAACAACCUUUGUUCUCUGACCAGGAAUAUUUAACAUUAUAAGAUGCCUUCAAGAAUUUAUAUAGAUUUUUUAGAUAAGUGAGAUUGAUUUAUAUAACAUGCACAUUUUGCAUGAGAAAAUGUGGUAUUUCAUGAGCUCUUAUCUCAGGGACUUUAAAUUAGAUGUAAAAUCUGACGGACACCUGAGACUGAUGGGUGUUGCUGCACCUGCUGCACAAAGUAGUGAUCAGUAAUUUCUUAAAGAAUUGGGUGAAGAUGCUGGAAAUCCUUUGCAUAUGCAUAGAUUUACAGAUUUAAUUGGUAUAAUUUGAAGUCAGUGAAGUCUGGUUAUUGAUGCAUUGGUUUGUAUGCAUCAUUGAAAACAGUACAACAGGACUAUACAUUAUCAAAGGAACAUUUUGUUAUCUUAUGUGUGAUGCAAGAUCGUUCUGUUAGUCAAGAAGGGAAGUGGUAUUUUUUGAGGAUGCAGUAAAGCCUUUUUACUUUGAAAUGUUGAAAACAUUAAAGGAGGUUAUUUGCAAAUUUGUGAUGUAUUGUUUUAUCUAGGUUUGCAUGUAUGUUUCAUAGCUGUUAUUAAAGAGGUUUUAUUCAUUGUAGGGUCCUUCAUGACUGCUAGGCUGCUAACACUGCUAGUUUGAAUUGUAAGUUUAACAGCAGUCCACUGUUCUACUAUAAUUAAACAGAUCUAAAAGGGAUGACAGCAUGGCAAAUAUGAAGGAUACAUAAUUUGUCACCUUGUGAAUCUUGGGUAGUCUGGUCCGAUAUUUACCUGUCAGGAGUUAGAUCUUUCUCUUUCUUAGAUUUUUUCUUCCUUCCACCCUUCAUUCCUUUUUUCUUUUUCUGAGGGCCAUAAAUAUGGACAGUAAUUAACUACAUGCAUAACAUGACUGUAUAUUUCAGUUUGACAGGAACUGAACUGACAUGAAUGACAGAGCAGCACUACUAGUUCAGUAAAUGUCAAUACAUUGGUACCUGUUGUUUACUAACCUAGGAUUUUUUAUAUAGUCUUCCACAGCAAAAGAUUUGGUUCUUGUCCUUGUUCCACUCCUUGAGGUAAGAAGGUUGUAACCCCAUUUCUGAGUGAGAAACUGAGCAGGAGGGAUGACUAUGCCUGCAUGGGAGACUUCGUCCUGACAGACCUAAGCAACUUGGUUCCUAAUUGUGUCUCAGACAAUGGGGAUCCACAGCCUAGGUGUUCCUCUCUGGUAGGUGUUUUCAGAGUAUACCUACCAGAUUAAGCUAAAUACAAAAUGUAGUGGUGGUUGCUGCUUUGUUUAUUAAAAGAUGUCUGUCAGAAGAAGGUGGCAGAGGACUCUUUUGAUACAAUAGCUUACUGAUUACAUGCUUACCCAGGAAAUGGACACAAAUGUACUUCUGGAUUUCAAUAUAAUUAACUAAAGAAAAUCAUUUGUUAGUCUCCCUUGUCAUAGACUAGUGCACAACAUUGUGAAAUUAAGCUUGGUAUAUUAUGCCACUGUCCAGCAAGGUAUUUAAGCAUGUGCCUAACUACAAUGCUUCACAUGUUUUAAAGUUAGACACAAGUGGUUAAAUGAUUUGCUGGACUGGUGUGUUGCCCUUCAGAAAAAAUGGACUAUAUACAUAAUAACCUUCUAAGCAGGGAUUCAUAAUUAUUUUAUUUUCUUAGUAACAAAUGCCUUAGAGUUUCAUGGAUUACAACUGUUUUUUAAAAUCUUAUCUGGCUAUCUGAAAAAUGCUAUUUUUCAUGGAGCAAUGCAGCAAUAAUGAAAAAAUAUUUCAAUUAUAGUUUUUCAAAGAGUGAGUUUUAUAAUCUCUAAAAUCUACUGUGCAAACCACCUGUAACAAAUGUUGCACAAAAAGUUAUGUGGAAGCAUAUGUCAUUUAAUUAAAUCCAAAACUAUAUAGAGAAGAAAACGAGAAGGUUUAAUAUUUUUAAUGAUCCUAUGUUAAAAUGCAGAUAUAUCCAAACAUGCAGAACUAUGUCUCUGGUGUCUUUACGUGAACAGGCAUAAUUACGUGGCUUCAUAGGGCAAGAAAUAUAGACAAGCUGGUCCCAUAAAAGAUAUUGCCAAAAAAAUCCUUGCCUUAUAUAUGUCUUGGACCAUCACAGCUACACCCCUGUUAUCUAUAACACUGUCUUUCCAAAAUUUCUAGCACAUUAGAAAAGAUCACAUUAUGUGGAUUAAUUGGGAAGGAUAGAUUAAUUUUUAUAUAUAUGAAGACACUGACCAUAUGUUGAAUUUAUUAGGCAACUGGUAUCUUCCUUAAGGCUCUUUGACCAGUAAAGAAGGUAACGCAAAUGCUAAAAAAAAAAAAAAA